CCUCCUUUCUUGGCAUGCUCAGUGUUUUACUUUACACAUGUGUGUGUAUGUGAUGGAGGAAAAUUAAAGAAAUCCAGUGCAAUAUCUUCGGUGGCAGAAAGUCAAUCAUUUUUUGAUUCUAUCCUCAGUCACUGGCAUAAUC